AGGCCUACCGUAUCGUCGGUAUCGGCACACCACAACCGACUUGCUCCCUUUACACUAUCUAAGCUUAUGCUGGAUCCUUACUCCAUAUACGGCUAUUUUGCCCCUUACACAAGUAUUAAGGCAGUUUUGCCUGUAUUUGUGGGAGGGGCUUAAAUGAAUUCACUCCCCUAUAUAAGGGACACCCCUUACCUGACUCAUAUUGCUUGAGGUCAGCAUCAGAAUGACCCUCCCAC